CGCUGCUUGUGGUCGGUCGUAGGGGCGACAGGGCUGCCGCGCUGGUGCUGCAAGCGCCGCCGCCGCGCUGGUCAGUAGCAGGGGCUCCGUCUUCUAUCCUUUGCAGGUCUCCAGCAUCUUCUCCAUUGACUCGCGCAAAGUAACCAUAGCUUAUUCCUCCCCAAAUCUGAGCAGAAAAAGAAAUCAAAAUCAAGAAUAAGAAAGGAAGGCGAGUAUCCACAACACGCCUACCCGGUGAGAGUCUGGAGCGUUGCUCCUCCAAGGCUCCGACCUCAUGUGCGACUUCACACUUGUGCAGGCGGCAUUCCAGGUGCCACCACAUGCUUGGUUGUCCUGGUCUUGCGCUGUCGCAGGUCUUGACCAUCAAUUCAGGCAAGCUGUGACUGUGUGAUGUUCUUAUAGGUCCAUCUAUCUGUCGAUUUCAUCGAUUUCGUCACCGAUUCCUUCAAAAAUUAGGCAAGCUACGACCGUCUCUCUCUGAAUCGAGACGUCAAUUCCGACGGCGAUGCAGAUCCCACGUCGAAGGUUGGAGCGACCGAGUGGGGUAGGCCAUUGGGUGGGACGAAAAUAGGGUAGCAGGGUGACGGGAGGCUUGGGGUGGUCGGCGGUGGUCACAGAGGCGAGCUCCGGCGAGAGGGUCGGACAUGGC
rnacentral:lncRNA from 1 species